UACGGAGGGUGCGAGCGUUGUCCGGAAUCAUUGGGCGUAAAGGGCGCGUAGGUGGCCCGGUCAGUUCGUGGUGAAAGCGCGGGGCUCAACCCUGCGUCGGCCAUGAAUACUGCCGCGGCUGGAGCACUGUAGAGGCAGGCGGAAUUCCGGGGUGUAGCGGUGGAAUGCGUAGAGAUCCGGAAGAACACCGGUGGCGAAGGCGGCCUGCUGGGCAGUUGCUGGACGCUGAGGCGCGACAGCGUGGGGGAGCAAACAGG
rnacentral:rRNA from 1 species